GUGAACGCUGGCGGUAGGCCUAACACAUGCCAGUCGAACGGCAGCACAGUAAGAGCUUGCUCUUACGGGUGGCGAGUGGCGGACGGGUGAGGAAUACAUCGGAAUCUACUUUUUCGUGGGGGAUAACGUAGGGAAACUUACGCUAAUACCGCAUACGACCUACGGGUGAAAGCAGGGGAUCUUCGGACCUUGCGCGAUUGAAUGAGCCGAUGUCGGAUUAGCUAGUUGGCGGGGUAAAGGCCCACCAAGGCGACGAUCCGUAGCUGGUCUGAGAGGAUGAUCAGCCACACUGGAACUGAGACGCGGUCCAGACUCCUACGGGAGGCAGCAGUGGGGAAUAUUGGACAAUGGGCGCAAGCCUGAUCCAGCCAUACCGCGUGGGUGAAGAAGGCCUUCGGGUUGUAAAGCCCUUUUGUUGGGAAAGAAAAGCAGCAGGUUAAUACCCCGCUGUUCUGACGGUACCCAAAGAAUAAGCACCGGCUAACUUCGUG
rnacentral:rRNA from 1 species